UACAGAGGGGGCGAGCGUUGUUCGGAAUUACUGGGCGUAAAGGGCGCGUAGGCGGCCCGCUAAGUCGAACGUGAAAUCCCCAGGCUCAACCUGGGAACUGCGUCCGAUACUGGCAGGCUUGAAUCCGGGAGAGGGAUGUGGAAUUCCAGGUGUAGCGGUGAAAUGCGUAGAUAUCUGGAGGAACACAGGUGGCGAAGGCGGCAUCCUGGACCGGUAUUGACGCUGAGGCGCGAAAGCUAGGGGAGCAAACGGG
rnacentral:rRNA from 1 species